rnacentral:rRNA from 1 species
UGGGGAAUAUUGGACAAUGGGCGAAAGCCUGAUCCAGCGACGCCGCGUGUCGGAAGGAGUCCUUCGGGAUGUAAACGACUUUUGGUGGAGACGAAUAAGCAGCUCAGGGAAUGGGGCUGUGAUGACGGUAUCCAUGGAAUAAGCCCCGGCUAACUACGUGCCAGCAGCCGCGGUAAGACGUAGGGGGCAAGCGUUACCCGGAAUUACUGGGCGUAAAGGGAGCGUAGGCGGGAGGUCAAGUCCGGUGUGAAAGACCCUGGCUCAACCAGGGAGGAGGGCUGGAAACUGACAAGCUUGAGUACAGCAGAGGAAGAGGGGAUUACCGGUGUAGGGGUGAAAUCCGUAGAGACCGGUAAGAAGGCCAGUGGCGAAGGCGCUUUUCUGGGCUGUUACUGACGCUGAGGCUCGAAAGCCAGGGGAGCAAACCG